ACAUUUAACUGGCAGGGGGAAUACCACAAUCAAAAGAGUGGUUUCACCAGGGUGAAGCUCUUCUAUUGACUCUUGUUGGAUUGUACUCUGUGAUUUCCCCAAAUGUGGGAAACUCAACUGUAUCAUUUAUGGUACUGGGGAACUGAUGUGCUGUCUACU